ensembl:lncRNA
AACAAUCCAAAUGUCCAUAAACAGAUGAUUGGAUUCGGAAGAGGUGGUAUAUAUACACAAUGGAAUACUACUCAGCCAUAAAAAAGAAUGACAUAAUGCCAUUUGCAGCAACAUGGAUGGAACUAGAGACUCUCAUACUGAGUGAAAUGAGCCAGAAAGAGAAAGACAAAUACCAUAUGAUAUCACUUAUAACUGGAAUCUAAUAUCCAGCACAAAUGAACAUCUCCUCAGAAAAGAAAAUCAUGGACCUGGAGAAAAGACUUGUGGCUGCCUGAUGGGAGGGGGAGGGAGUGGGAGGGAUCGGGAGCUUGGGCUUAUCAGACACAACUUAGAAUAGAUUUACAAGGAGAUCCUGCUGAAUAGCAUUGAGAACUAUGUCUAGAUACUCAUGUUGCAACAGAACAAAGUGUGGGGAAAAAAUGUAAUUGUAAUGUAUACAUGUAAGGAUAACUUGAUCCCCUUGCUGUACAGUGGCGAAAAAAAAAACCUGUGUAUUUGGGGGCAAGCUACUUAUAGUCUUUGAUCUUCAAUUUUAUAACUUUCAAAAAUUGUUGUGUAGAUUACAUGAAAUUAUGUAUGUAAAGUCCCUAGUGUAGUAUGUGAAAUAAAAUAGAUGGUUAGUAAUUUCUAGACAUAGUUAUUAUUCCAAUUUCUGAUUAUGUCAUUGGGCCACCAUUUCCACAAUGCUUCACCAUUAUAUGCAAUACAAAUAGUACAAAUAAAAUAUAGAAUGCAUCUUCUUAUUUUUCUAUAAGAAAAUUAGUUUUGUUUUCUUAUUUUCCAUAGUCACAGCCUCCUUUUGCUCUGAAGGAAUCUUGAGUUAUAUAUCAUAUAAAGAAUUCUACAAACUCUAUGUUGAGUCCUCACCACACUAUUGCUGGUUUGAAUGCUCAUGCUACCAACACGAGCAGCCAAGCAUGGUCCACCUCAGACCCAGUCAGAUCAUCAAAUGUGCUUAUAGCACAGUCUAACUCAGGAACAGGUUACCAACUAAUUUUUUGUUGUUAUCCUUUCCCUUUUCCCAUUUACAGAAAAGGUUGUUGGUGGCAACCUUCCCAAUUUAGUUCAUGGAGAUGGACUGUGACAGGAUUACCGGAGAAAUGGAAACCACCUGGAGAUCAAGAAGUGCUAAAUUCCAUCUAGACACAAAUCAGAGUCAUCAUCUUGCCUCAAACUCCUCAGGAAAAAGAGUUUUUAACACCCUUCUGUUUUUCAGCUGUUUUUCCCCCCUUUGUUUUACUUAGGACAGUUUUUCUCACUGUAUCUUCAAGUUUAUUGACCUGUUAUUCAGCAGUUUUGAGUUGGCUAAGCCCACCCAGUCAUUUCUUUUUCCAUUUCAGGCACUGUAUUUUUCCACUCUACCAGUUCCAUUUUUUAAAAAUAUUCUGUAAUUUUUAAAUCUGUAAAAAUCUUAAUAUGUUUGUAAUUCCUUAAAAUCCUUGAUUAUAUCUAUAAUAGCUAUUUUAAAGCCUUUGUCUACUUAUUCUAUCAUUAUCUAUUAUUGAUGUGUCUGUUUCUUUUGUGUGAUUUUUCUCUUGGUUAUGUGUUACAUUAAACUGCUUCAUCACAUAUUCACUGAGUUUUGAUUGGUUGCUGGACACUGUAAUGCGAUAUUAUUGGCUAUCUAGAUUUUGCUUUAUUCCUUCACAAAGACUUGAUAUUUUUCAAAGUAUCUGUGCCUCAGCCUGAUCCUUUUGAGGCUUAUUUUUAAGUGUGGUUAAAGUGGGUCAAAAGUAUCUGUUACUUUGAGGCUAUUUUGGGUCCACUCCUGAGGCCUGACUAUUUUGGUGUCUUUACUGAAUGCCCUGGGUGCUAAAAGAAUUUCUUUCUACUCUAGCAGUUGAAAAUCUCUCUCAGACCUGUGUGAGUCCUGGGAAUUGCUCAGUAUACAGCUUCCUGGCAGUUGUUCUCUGUCUGGUCUCAUGGAAAUUUACCCUAUAAAUGUUUGGUGUAACAUACAGUCAAAGAUCCAGGGAAUCAAUGUGUAGAUUUCUGGAGCUCUCUUUUCUAUGUAGCCCUCUUCUCUUAUUCUUCUCCACAAAUUCCAGUUGGUGAGCGUUCAUGAAUUCAGUAUCUUCAUCUCAAUAAGGCUACUGUGAUAUGCUGGGAUUGCUUCUUCCUGCACCACAGCCCUGGAAUUGCCCCCAGGGAGAAAUCCUGGGUGAUCACAGGAUUCACCUCAUUGAUUUCCCUUUUCUCACUCCUUAACUGCCUGCUCUCUACUGUCUGUCUGAGAGCUUAUUUAAUGUGUUUUCCUAGUUUUUUAUAGAAGAAAAAAUAAUUCUAGAACCAAUAACUUCGUCAUGGCUCAAUAAAUUAUUUUAAUGAAUAUUAGGUAGGGUGAAG